CAUUAUAGGUUAUUAAAGGAUAUUGGAUAUACUUCCCUGUGCUAUACAGCAGGUCGUCAUUGAUUAUUUUGUGUGUAUCUGUUUAGUGUAUAUUUGUUAAUCCCACACUCCUAACUUACCCUUCCCAGACUCCUCACUUCUUUAAAUUGCAAGCUCUUCAAAUAGAGCUUAGCAGACCUUGGGGAGUGGAGCAAAGUUCAGCUGAGGACAGUUCAGAAGGGUUGAGAUACUUCUGCCUAGCCCACUUCCCAAAGAUCUCAACUGAAUUCUGCCGGCAGCCAGGUCAGGUCCAGAAUCAGCAGUCCUGGGCAAUGUGCCCUGCAGGGCUCUGAGGUCUGAGACCAAGUCUCUGGUUUAACAGAGGAGAGCUGAGGGUUUUGACAGUGUUAGGUCAUCCCGGCCCAUCUACAUUUCUCUCGUUCAGUUUCUCCUCGCAAACCUGAAUUCAUUCUAGCACGUGGAACUAUUCUAGCAAGAAUCACCAUUUAGUUAAUAAAUGUGGGGCGUAGGAGUGAAUCCCCACGGGUCAGGACCCAGAAGCCCUGUCCACGUGGGAGCCACGCUUGGAGUUUCAGGAAUCGCUGUUGGGGACGUCUGAGUCCUAGGAAGCCAUUCAGCCCUGCUGACUGGUUCACGCCAGGAAGAGCUCUGUCUGCAGGGUCCUCACCCACACUGGGCCAGAGACAGCAGAGCCAGGCCCUGGGCCAUGGAGACCACCCCGCAGAGAAGAAGCUUCUAGAAGCUGUUAACCGAGUCAAGGACACCACCAGCUACAGGGGAGCUGUGCCCUGGGAUGCCAGCUUGCUGCCAAAUUUGGGGGUCCUCCCAAGGCUGAGAGUCACAUAGAAGUCAGGUUAACUCUCCAGAAUCAAAGGCCAUCAGAGCAGACAGCUAUAAACAACCUGCUUCUGGGAAGUCACAGUCCUGGUGGACUACGCAGAGCGUCAGAGAUGCACCAUGGGUUGUGGCGUGGUGAGGCCCUGACUCAAUCCCAGCCUAUUGCUUCCUUUGUUUGUGAAAUGUGCUGGAUCAUCUCCAUCUUACAGGUUAUCCUGAGCAGCCAGUGUGAUCGUGUAUAUGCAAGUACUUUGUAA
ensembl:lncRNA